rnacentral:rRNA from 1 species
UUUUAGUUUUUUUUUUUCUGCUCAGGACGAACGCUGGCGGGCGUGCCUAAUACAUGCAAGUCGUAUAGAUUUUUUUUUCUCCGGAGGUAGCUCCACCGGAGAAAGAAGAGUCACGAACGGGGUGAGUAGCACUUGUGUAACCUACCCAUCAGAAGGGGAUAACACUUGUGAAAACACGUGCUAAUACCGUAUAACAAUCGAUACCGCAUGGUUUUGAUUUGAAAGGCGCUUUCGGGUGUCGCUGAUGGAUGGACCCGCGGUGCAUUAGCUAGUUGGUGAGGUAACGGCUCACCAAGGYCGCGAUGCAUAGCCGACCUGAGAGGGUGAUCGGCCACAUUGGGACUGAGACACGGCCCAAACUCCUACGGGAGGCAGCAGUAGGGAAUCUUCGGCAAUGGACGAAAGUCUGACCGAGCACCCCCGCGUGAGUGAAGAAGGUUUUCGGAUCGUAAAACUCUGUUGUUAGAGAAGAACAAGGAUGAGAGUAACUGUUCAUCCCUUGACGGUAUCUAACCAGAAAGCCACGGCUAACUACGUGCCAGCAGCCGCGGUAAUACGUAGGUGGCAAGCGUUGUCCGGAUUUAUUGGGCGUAAAGCGAGCGCAGGCGGUUUCUUAAGUCUGAUGUGAAAGCCCCCGGCUCAUCCGGGGAGGGUCAUUGGAAACUGGGAGACUUGAGUGCAGAAGAGGAGAGUGGAAUUCCAUGUGUAGCGGUGAAAUGCGUAGAUAUAUGGAGGAACACCAGUGGCGAAGGCGGCUCUCUGGUCUGUAACUGACGCUGAGGCUCGAAAGCGUGGGGAGCAAACAGGAUUAGAUACCCUGGUAGUCCACGCCGUAAACGAUGAGUGUUAAGUGUUGGAGGGUUUCCSCCCUUCAGUGCUGCAGCUAACGCAUAAGCACUCCGCCGGGAGCCCG